CCUGGAGGACAGUAACUGGGGUCCACAGAGGUUCACAUCUGGUCACUUCCAUUAUCUCGGAAUCAGCAGUAGGGUCUCUGACGAGGGUGUGUGUGUGUAGGGGCUGUUGGUACAGAGAGAAGGUGUGAAAUAGUCUCUCAGAAAGCAGGAAAACAAAUUUACUAGUAGAUGUUUGCUGUGGGAAGAAAUGAGUAACUCAUUUUCUGUAGAAAUAGGAGAAGAGAGGCAAGGAGGCUCUGAGCUCACACAUGGCAUGUGGGCAGGUUACAGGCUGAUUAUCGCAGGGUCAGCGGGCGUCGUGGACCCAGCACAUUCAGCCCUGGGAGCCUUUACUGAAUGUGGGCCCAGAGCCAGGGGCUUAAGUGCCCCCAGAGCCAGGGGCCUAAGUGUCCCUAGCCCCUGAACUCGGACUCACAAAGUGUCUGCUGACCCUCUCCCCACCUCUGUCUGUCUGCGGUGCAGCUGUGAUGGUCUCUGAGUGCGAAGGCUGUCAUGUCAGUGUAGGUGUCAGCACUGCUGACGUCAGCAGGGAGGCUGCUCGGACUCACCACGUGCUGAGACUGGAGAAGCAGGGCUCUGGGAACACCCAGCUGGUCCAUCAGUUACGAAUCAGAAGGCAGGGCAGCUCAGCCAGGAGUUACUGAGUUAGAGCAUUUUAAAAUAGCUCUACAUGCUUCUGCCAGCUGACACUCCAGAUACUAAUGGUUCACUCUGAACUUACGUCACCUUCCCCCUCUUGCAUUCUCAAGCUCUCUGACGUCCCUGAUCCUGCUUCUUUGUUGAGUGCCCUUUUCACAGAGAAAUGAAGGCCCUUUGCAGACCUGCCUGCACUGAGAAAGGCUCGAAGCCCCUUGGGGGCCACAGCAACCUGGAGGCUGCUGGUCUGAGGCCGGUUCUUGCCCACUUCCAAGCGGGCAUCCUCUCUGCCAAGCGCCAUGACAGGAGGGGACAGCUGCAGCUCCCCCCACCCCCCCGAGCUAUAAAAAGCCCCAACACCCGAGUGAGCAGAGGACACACCGAACAGAUACACGGAACUUUGCUGGACUCCAGGAGGAGCUCGGCUCAACUACCAUGCUGAGGUUAGCCUGUGCCACCAGGCUGCUGCGGGCCCCUCUGAGGGGCUGGCUGGUUCCCAAGGCACACGUCUCUGCCAAGCCAGCCCGGACACCCACUUCUCCUACGGAGCAAGCCAUUGGGCUCUCUGUGAUGUUCCUCAGCUUCCUGAUUCCUGCAGGCUGGGUCUUAUCCCACCUGGAGAGCUACAAGAGAAGUUCCACAGCAUGAAGGCUCCGCAGCUCGGGCUCCAGGCGCAGGACAAAAGACCCCAUUAAACCCCUCCCCCACCUA